rnacentral:rRNA from 1 species
AACGAACGCUGGCGGCGUGGAUAAGACAUGCAAGUCGAACGGGAUAACAUCUGUAGCAAUACAGGUGUUAUUUAGUGGCGAACGGGUGCGUAACACGUGGGCAAUCUGCCGAGAAGUGGGGGAUAGCUCGCCGAAAGGCGAAUUAAUACCGCAUAUGAUCAGUGAAGACAUCUUCACGACAUCAAAGCCGGGGCAACCUGGCGCUUCUUGAUGAGCCCGCGGCCUAUCAGCUAGUUGGUGAGGUAACGGCUCACCAAGGCUAUGACGGGUAGCUGGUCCGAGAGGACGACCAGUCACACUGGAACUGAGACACGGUCCAGACACCUACGGGUGGCAGCAGUCGAGAAUUUUUCUCAAUGGGGCAACCCUGAAGGAGCGACGCCGCGUGGAGGAUGAAGGCUUUCGGGUUGU